CAUAAAAAAAUAAUUUUCAAAAAAUGGAGGGACGACAAAAAUCAGAAUUUAUGAAAGAGAACAUAAAAAAGGAUAUUUGUUAUACACAGUUGGACUUUUAAAACACUCUUCACAUUUUUUAUAUUACGUGAUCCCAAAGCAACCACCACCUCACUCCCUAACCAAUCCCCACCAUAAAAAAGCAUCUCGAAGCUACUCUGUCUUGUUCAAUAACCAAUACUAAAUUCCAUAAUUAUCCCCCACCGCCUUAUCUUAUUUACUAAUCAACCCUUAAACCCCUUUUUUCUUCUUGUAUAUAUAAACCCUUCUCUAUUUCUUUUCCACUACUCUUUUUUUUGUUUCUUAAUUCAUUUUUCUCGUGUGUUGGGUUUGCUGGAAAUUGACGUGGAUUCAGCUCUUCAGGAACGCAUAAAUUUCAAAUCCUGAAUUAAAUAUCGCGUACCGGAAAUGGUGGAAGGCGGUGCUGGACCGGAGUUUCCGGUAGUAUUUUUCGACGGCGAAAGAGAAAUGAACAUUGGGAAAAUACGUAUUUACCCUUUGUUAGAAUUCAAAGCAUUCCAAUUAAUGCUAAGCCAAAGGAUCGGAAUAUCACCGAAUCAAAUCUCAAUCUACUUAUGUAGUGAUCGAAAAUCAAGCUCGAAAUUCGAUGAUCGACGGAUGAGAAUUCCCAUCACAAACAAGGCGAAUUUCUCUCUGAUCGCUCGAGAAAACGAGUGUUUCUUUCUCGUGGUUUUAAAACGGUCGCGGAAAUCGAGGAGUCGUAAAGCCUCUUCAAAUGGUCUGCCCGAAAAUAUGAUUCUCCUUCGGCGAAACCCGCACCCCGAGAUAAUGAUGGAUUUCGGGUUCGGGUUCGGGUCGGGGUUUUAUGACCCGUACCCGAAACCAGACCCGGAUCCGGACACGUUUCCGAUGAUGACGAUGAUGACGAAAAGUUUAUUAAUGGAGAAGAAAGGUUAUAAGUGUGAGGAAUGUAAGGGUAAUAAUGGAAAUAUUUCGGGUUUUCAUCAUUGUGUAAAUGACCCGGUUAUUGUUGGUGGGUUUAGGAGUCGGUUUGGGCCGGUUGGUCGGUUUUAUUGACCCGGUUUUUGGGAGUAAUUUUUAAGUUUUUUUUUGGGGGCUUUUUAGUUAAGCCAUGGUUAAAUUGUAUAAAAGUUUUUGGGAGAAGAAGAGUGGGGAUCUGCUGCAUUGUGGUAUAUGGUAAGAAAAAUUUGCCAUGGUUGGUAUAAUUAGCCUUUAUAGCAAGAGUUUAAUUAGGGGAAAAAGGUGAUUAGAAGAAAGUAGAAAUGAUUAGGAAGUGAUUAAGAAUGGUUUAAUUGAUUGGACUUUGGAGUGGUCAAUGAAGGAGUUUUCCACUAAAUUGUUUUUUUUUUUUUUGGGUUAUUCCCUAUAUGGUUAUUGUGGGACUUAAUUUGUAGUUGAAGUUGGAAGAAUUGUAAAUGGAGAUUUUCCAUAGUUUUUGUUUAAAAAGCUAUGUUGUAUGAUUCAGCUUGGAAUUGAAUCCAUAAAAGAAUGUGAUUUGAUUUUUAAUUGCAAUUCUUACCCAA